rnacentral:rRNA from 1 species
UACAGAGGUCCCAAGCGUUGUCCGGAUUUAUUGGGCGUAAAGCGCACGCAGGCGGUCUGCUAAGUUUGGAGUGACAGUUGGUGGCUUAACUGCCAAAGUGCUUCGAAAACUGACAGACUUGAGGGCUUCAGAGGGACACGGAAUUCCGGGUGGAGUGGUGAAAUGCGUAGAGAUCCGGAGGAACACCAAAGGCGAAGGCAGUGUCCUGGGGAGUACCUGACGCUCAGGUGCGAAAGCCAGGGGAGCGAACGGG